rnacentral:rRNA from 1 species
GAUGAACGCUGGCGGCGUGCCUAAUACAUGCAAGUCGAGCGGAAGGACGCUAAGCUUGCUUCUCUGUCGUUAGCGGCGGGCGGGUGAGUAACACGUGUAUAACCUACCUAUCAUACUGGGAUAACUUCGGGAAACCGUAGCUAAUCCCGUAUAAUAUUUUGCUCCGCAUGGUUCAAAGGUGAAAUACGGUCUUGCUGUCACUAAUAGCUGCUUCCGCGCUGCAUUAGCUAGUUGGUACGGUAACGGCUUACCAAGGCAACGAUGCAUAGCCGACCUGAGGGGGGGAUAGGCCACAUGGGAGCUGGGCCAGGGUCCAGACUACUGAGGGACGCAGCAGUAGGGAAUGGGACGCAAUGGUGGAGAGCAUGACGGAGCGACGGCGCGUGAGUGAUGAAGGUGUUGGGAUCGUAAAGCCCGGUUAUUGGUGAAGAACAUAUGUGGAAGGAGAUGUGCACAUAGUGACGGUACCGGGUAAGAAAGCAACGGCUAACUACGUG